rnacentral:tRNA from 1 species
GGAGGGGUCGCAUAGAGGCCUAGUGCGUCUGCCUGCUAAGCAGAUAGAGGGACUUAUCCCUCUCGCGGGUUCGAAUCCCGCUCCCUCCGCCG